GAAUGUGAGGAAAAUUUGGCUAUGAUAUCUGUCACCCCACUGAUUGCCAGGGUUGAUUUGUCUGAUCUGGCUGGCUAGGCGGGUGUCCCCUUCCUCCCACACCACUCCACAUGCAUCCCUUCCAAAGCUGAACGCUUGGUGGAAGAGGUUGACCAUCCCAGAUAGGAGUGUACCAUUCUUCAGUCAAGGAUAUACAAUAAACUGUUUCGAUAAUCUAUUCUAUGUAAUUAAUUAAUUUGUUAAUUGAGUAGUUUACAGAUUUAAUUCAUU
rnacentral:snRNA from 1 species